rnacentral:rRNA from 1 species
UACGGGGGGAGCAAGCGUUGUUCGGAUUUACUGGGCGUAAAGGGCGCGUAGGUGGCUCGCCAAGCGGGCGGUGAAAGCCUGGGGCUCAACCCCGGGUCGGCCGUGCGAACUGGCGAGCUGGAGCACUGUAGAGGCAGGCGGAAUUCCCGGUGUAGCGGUGAAAUGCGUAGAGAUCGGAAAGAACAUCGGUGGCGAAGGCGCUCUACUGGACCACAACUGACACUCAGGGACGAAAGCUAGGGGAGCGAAUGGG